GGGGAGUGAUGGGCCUGCAUCUGUGAAAGGAAGGCACAGUAGCAUUCUAAACACAUGAUUGGAAGAAUACUCUACCCACAUUGGUCCGUUCAUCUGAAUCAGUUUUCCAACUGUGAUCUAAAGGCCAUUUAGAUGGAAGUAAGUUCUCCUAAAAUCAGUGGCUGUACCCCAGCAGCAACUAUAAAUGGACUGAGUGAUGGAGUGAAGAUUCAUGGUAGCACUUCUGAAACAAGACCUUUGGAGAGAACCUCCCUUCUUCCUUUCAGAAGAGUGACUGUGAAGGAGACAGAACAUCCUGAUAGCAGAGCCUACCUUUGAUUACUGAGUAUUGGAGAAGUCUGCAGCUGGAAAUGGGAUACUGAGAGGACAGAAACUGCUGAAAAGCUAAGGAAAUUCUUUGGAGCCAGAGGUUCUGGUUUUUAAACACAAAGUCUGAGUGACUGAUGUAUUAGGGGCAAGGAAGAAUGUUCUACUGCAAAUCUACUACAAAUCUGAGGAGAAAGUUCUCAAGCAAAUUCUAGUUUACUUGUAAACAGUACAACAUAUAGCAUUAUUUGCUACAAUAUCUAACGUAUUUACUUACUUAUUUAGUGCAUUUUUAUACCGCCCAUAUACAAAUCUCUGGACAAUUUACAGUUUUAAAGCACAAAAAACCAUUAAACACUAAAUCAAUUAAAACAGUUAAAAAUAUAGAUAAAAAUAACCUUAAAACUUUACAGGUGUGGACUAAAAGUCUGAUUUAAAAUUUUUCAAAAAAGUUUUCAAAAUUUUCUUAAAAUAAUCCAGAGAUGGGGAGGCUUUAAUUUUGUUUGGGAGCAUGUUCUAAAGUCCUGGGACAAACCUAGAAAAGGCCUAGUUUUGGGUCACCACCAAACGAGCCAAUGACAACCUGAUUAUCCUCCCGAUUAUCCCCUGACCUCUCCUGAUUAUCUUAAUAGGUGGCAGGGGUCCAUGAAGAAGAAGGCGUUCUCUUAAGUACCCAGAAUGUUGGGGGGCAAUAUGCUAAAUCAUUGUAAACCGCUUAGAGAGCUUCCAGCUAUAGAGCGGUAUAUAAAUGUAAGUGCUAUUGCUAUUGCUAUUGCUAUUAAAUACCUUGGACGCAAGCCUUUCAGGACUUUAUAACCACCACUUUGUAUUUCAGUCUGAGAAACCAGGGAGAAGUUUCGCUCCAGAAGUUCUCGCAGACCAUGUACCUGUUUUUCCCCAGGGAAGUGUAACCACAUCCAGAACACGCAGAUCCAAACCACUUCCUAAGUUUUGAUCUCCCACAAUAAGUACUUCUGUCUUGUUGGAUUCAGCUUCAGAUUGUUCAAUAUAUAACAUAAAAGCUGUCUCUUACAGUUUGGUAUUAUAACUAUCUUUCUCAAGCUUUUAAGUUUAGCCAAGGUAAGUAAAUCCUAGAAUGUUCUAAGCCAUUCAGUUUUACUUGGUUCAGUUCUUACCUUCUAAUACUUACCAAUGAUUAAUCUUGAAGCAAAUAGGGCAU